rnacentral:ncRNA from 1 species
GAUCCAGGACGGCCUGGGCCGCAGUCGUGCACUGAUCCAGGACGGCCUGG